rnacentral:rRNA from 1 species
GACGAACGCUGGCGGCGUGCUUAACACAUGCAAGUCGAACGAAGUGGCGAACGGGUGAGUAACGCGUAAUCAACCUGCCCUUCCGAGGGGGACAACAGUUGGAAACGACUGCUAAUCCCGCAUACUGAAGGAGGGGAUUGCGUCUGAUUCGCUAGUUGGAGGGGUAACGGCCCACCAAGGCGAUGAUCAGUAGCCGGGCUGAGAGGAUUAACGGCCACAUUGGGACUGAGACACGGCCCAGACCCCUACGGGAGGCAGCAGUUGGGGAACUUCCGCAAUGGACGAAAGUCUGACGGAGCAACGCCGCGUGAGUGAUUACGGCCUUCGGGUUUUAAAGCUCUGUUAAGCGGGACGCGGUACCGGAAUAGAAAGCCACGGCUAACUACGUGCCAGCAGCCGCGGUAAUAC